GUGAGCAUUAUUGAGAGGAUGAGCUCUUUAAGAGGACUUUUUAAAGACUUAAUUAAAUUUUCUUAGAAAUGAUAUCAGUAAGUUAUCUUUUUUAAGAUAUCUUUCAGAAGAGCUCUUUAUGAUAUCUCUUCAUAGAUAUCUCUAAAGUCUCUAGCAAGCGUGCCAUUUAAGAUAUUUUACGAACGCCGCACACAUGCGCAAGCAACAUACGUGUGAACUAGAGACCCUGUGUUCUAGUGAAGUGUGAACUGCGUGUUAUUGCGUCCUCUAUAUUUCGAAGAGAUAAUAUCUUCAAUAUUAACGUUUUUAAGACAUAACUCAACUUCUCUGGUAAGCAGAGCAAUAUAGAAGCUGCAAUAUAGAACAAGUAUAAUAAAAUGCCAAAAUUAUUUUAUUUUUUUUUAUUGAAAUACACAUUGUACCACUUUAUCCUUGCUGGGUACUCACUAUGAGUUGCAACAUGCAACGCAACAGUAUAGCUACGUAAUGAGUACGUUUAAAUAUCCAGAUCAAGACGUACUCAUUAGGCUGCAACUACUGUUGAAUUGCAUGUUGCAGGUCAUAGUGAGUACUCAGCUUUAGAAGAAUUCAAGCUACAAUUGUAAUUACAUAUUUGUAAAAAUUUAUAUUUGUAGCUAUAAUCCUACAAUUAUUUGCUAUGUGGGUGCUUUAUUAUAUGAUUGCAAUUUUUAUUAAUUUUUUGUACAGUAUAUAAUAUGCUGAAAAUAACAA